AGUGAACGCUGGCGGUAGGCCUAACACAUGCAAGUUGAACGGCAGCACAGUAAGAGCUUGCUCUUACGGGUGGCGAGUGGCGGACGGGUGAGGAAUACAUCGGAAUCUACUUUUUCGUGGGGGAUAACGUAGGGAAACUUACGCUAAUACCGCAUACGACCUACGGGUGAAAGCAGGGGAUCUUCGGACCUUGCGCGAUUGAAUGAGCCGAUGUCGGAUUAGCUAGUUGGCGGGGUAAAGGCCCACCAAGGCGACGAUCCGUAGCUGGUCUGAGAGGAUGAUCAGCCACACUGGAACUGAGACACGGUCCAGACUCCUACGGGAGGCAGCAGUGGGGAAUAUUGGACAAUGGGCGCAAGCCUGAUCCAGCCAUACCGCGUGGGUGAAGAAGGCCUUCGGGUUGUAAAGCCCUUUUGUUGGGAAAGAAAAGCAGCAGGUUAAUACCCCGCUGUUCUGACGGUACCCAAAGAAUAAACACCGGCUAACUUCGUG
rnacentral:rRNA from 1 species